CCAAAACUUUGAUUUCUCGUAAGGUGCCGAGCGAGUCAAGAUAGAAACAUCGCCCGAUCCCUAGUCGGCAUAGUUUACGGUUAAGACUACGACGGUAUCUGAUCGUCUUCGAUCCCCUAACUUUCGUUCACUGAUUAAUGAAAACAUCCUUGGCAAAUGCUUUCGCAGUAGUUAGUCUUCAAUAAAUCCAAGAAUUUCACCUCUGACAAUUGAAUACUGAUGCCCCCGACUAUCCCUAUUAAUCAUUACGGCGGUCCUAGAAACCAACAAAAUAGGAUCGCACGUCCUAUUCUAUUAUUCCAUGCUAACGUAUUCGAGCAAAGGCCUGCUUUGAACACUCUAAUUUUUUCAAAGUAAAAGUCCUGGUUCCCCCGCACACCCAGUGAAGGGCAUGGGGCUCUCCAGAAGGAAAGGCCCGGCCGGACCAGUGCACGCGGUGAGGCGGACCGGCCAGCCAGGCCCAAGGUUCAACUACGAGCUUUUUAACUGCAACAACUUUAAUAUACGCUAUUGGAGCUGGAAUUACCGCGGCUGCUGGCACCAGACUUGCCCUCCAAUUGUUCCUCGUUAAGGGGUUUAAAUUGUACUCAUUCCGAUUACAAGACCCAAAAGAGCCCUGUAUCAGUAUUUAUUGUCACUACCUCCCCGUGUCGGGAUUGGGUAAUUUGCGCGCCUGCUGCCUUCCUUGGAUGUAGUAGCCGUUUCGCAGGCUCCUUCUCCGGAAUCGAACCCUAAUUCCCCGUUACCC
rnacentral:rRNA from 1 species